AUGUAUUACCAUCAUCAUACUCACUCCUCAUGUAUUACCAUCAUCAUACUCACUCCUCACUAUUACCAUCAUCAUACUCACUCCUCAUGUAUUACCAUCAUCAUACUCACUCCUCACUAUUACCAUCAUCAUACUCACUCCUCACUAUUACCAUCAUCAUACUCACUCCUCAUGUAUUACCAUCAUCGUACUCACUCCUCACUAUUACCAUCAUCAUACUCACUCCUCAUGUAUUACCAUCAUCAUACUCACUCCUCACUAUUACCAUCAUCAUACUCACUCCUCAUGUAUUACCAUCAUCAUACUCACUCCUCACUAAUACCAUCAUCAUACUCACUCCUCACUAUUAACCAUCAUCAUACUCACUCCUCACUAUUACCAUCAUCAUACUCACUCCUCACUAUUACCAUCAUCAUACUCACUCCUCACGUAUUACCAUCACCAUACUCACUCCUCAUGUAUUACCAUCAUCAUACUCACUCCUCAUGUAUUACCAUCAUCAUACUCACUCCUCACUAUUACCAUCAUCAUACUCACUCCUCACUAUUACCAUCAUCAUACUCACUCCUCACUAUUACCAUCAUCAUACUCACUCCUCACUAUUACCAUCAUCAUACUCACUCCUCAUGUAUUACCAUCAUCAUACUCACUCCUCACUAUUACCAUCAUCAUACUCACUCCUCACUAUUACCAUCAUCAUACUCACUCCUCACUAAUACCAUCAUCAUACUCACUCCUCACGUAUUACCAUCAUCAUACUCACUCCUCACGUAUUACCAUCACCAUACUCACUCCUCACUAUUACCAUCAUCAUACUCACUCCUCAUGUAUUACCAUCAUCAUACUCACUCCUCACUAUUACCAUCAUCAUACUCACUCCAUAUGUAUUACCAUCACCAUACUCACUCCUCACUAAUACCAUCAUCAUACUCACUCCUCACUAUUACCAUCAUCAUACUCACUCCUCAUGUAUUACCAUCAUCAUACUCACUCCUCAUGUAUUACCAUCAUCAUACUCACUCCUCAUGUAUUACCAUCAUCAUACUCACUCCUCACGUAUUACCAUCACCAUACUCACUCCUCACUAUUACCAUCAUCAUACUCACUCCUCACGUAUUACCAUCAUCAUACUCACUCCUCACUAUUACCAUCAUCAUACUCACUCCUCACUAUUACCAUCAUCAUACUCACUCCUCACUAUUACCAUCAUCAUACUCACUCCUCACGUAUUACCAUCAUCAUACUCACUCCUCACUAUUACCAUCAUCAUACUCACUCCUCACUAAUACCAUCAUCAUACUCACUCCUCACUAUUACCAUCAUCAUACUCACUCCUCACUAAUACCAUCAUCAUACUCACUCCUCACUAUUACCAUCAUCAUACUCACUCCUCAUGUAUUACCAUCGUCAUACUCACUCCUCAUGUAUUACCAUCACCAUACUCACUCCUCACUAUUACCAUCAUCAUACUCACUCCUCACUAUUACCAUCAUCAUACUCACUCCUCAUGUAUUACCAUCAUCAUACUCACUCCUCAUGUAUUACCAUCAUCAUACUCACUCCUCAUGUAUUACCAUCAUCAUACUCACUCCUCACUAUUACCAUCAUCAUACUCACUCCUCAUGUAUUACCAUCAUCAUACUCACUCCUCACUAUUACCAUCAUCAUAUUCACUCCUCACUAUUACCAUCAUCAUACUCACUCCUCACUAUUACCAUCAUCAUACUCACUCCUCACUAUUACCAUCGUCAUACUCACUCCUCAUGUAUUACCAUCACCAUACUCACUCCUCACUAUUACCAUCAUCAUACUCACUCCUCACUAUUACCAUCAUCAUACUCACUCCUCAUGUAUUACCAUCAUCAUACUCACUCCUCACUAUUACCAUCAUCAUACUCACUCCUCACUAUUACCAUCAUCAUACUCAGUCCUCACUAUUACCAUCAUCAUACUCACUCCUCACUAUUACCAUCAUCACACUCACUCCUCACUAUUACCAUCAUCACACUCACUCCUCACGUAUUACCAUCAUCAUAUUCACUCCUCACUAUUACCAUCACCAUACUCACUCCUCACUAUUACCAUCAUCAUACUCACUCCUCACUAUUACCAUCAUCAUACUCACUCCUCACUAUUACCAUCAUCAUACUCACUCCUCACUAA
ensembl:lncRNA